AACGAACGCUGGCGGCAUGCCUAACACAUGCAAGUCGAACGAGACCUUCGGGUGUAGUGGCGCACGGGUGCGUAACGCGUGGGAACCUGCCCUUAGGUUCGGAAUAACUCCCCGAAAGGGGUGAUAAUACCGGAUAAUGUCUUAGGACCAAAGAUUUAUCGCCUUUGGAUGGGCCCGCGUUGGAUUAGCUAGUUGGUAGGGUAAAAGCCUACUAAGGCGACGAUUCAUAGCUGGUCUGAGAGGAUGAUCAGCCACACUGGGACUGGGACACGGCCGAGACUCCUCCGGGAGGCAGCAGUGGGUAAUAUUGGACCAUGGGCGAAAGCCUGAUCCAGCAAUGCCGCGUGAGUGAUGAAGGCCUUAGGGUUGUAAAGCUCUUUUACCCGUGAUGAUAAUGACAGUACCGAGAGAAUAAGCUCCGGCUAACUCCGUG
rnacentral:rRNA from 1 species